rnacentral:lncRNA from 1 species
UCCCCACGAGGUCGUCGCCCCCUGUGCCUCCUCGUCGACCGAGCCACCACACCUUUCACGAGCAACGCUACUCCGGCACGCCACCGGCCGGAGGUCCGGCCACCAUCAUUACUUCUGGCCUCCGCCCGCCCUUGCGCCGCCUAUAAAAGGGGGCCGAGCCCCUGCCGCCUUCCCACACCCUCGGCACCACCUCCCUGGUCGCUCCCUCUUCCCCACCGCCCGCACGCCGCCGCCGGUAACCCGCCGCCGCCAUCUCCUGGUCCAACGCCGGUGCCCCCUUCCCCACCAUCAGCCGACCAAGGUGAGGGCCAAAAUGGGCCCCUCACACUCUCUUCUCCCUCCCCCACCACUCGGCCUCGCCGCCGGCGAGCUAGGCCGGCCGGCCCGCCGCCAGCCAUCCCCCUCCCCAUUUCCUAUUGUGACCCAAGGAAGAAGAAAGGGAUAAAAUCCCUCCCC